rnacentral:lncRNA from 1 species
AUCCGCUUGGUGCAAGUGCAAAAGAAACCACAGAUGGAAGCUCACAGAUGGAAGCCCGCUGAUCAUACAGCUGUUUCUUUGUUGGGAUAUCCAUUGGAGAACAUCCUUAACUCCUUGAACUAUUUAUACUGUCUCUGAAUACUCUUACCAGAAGCCAGGCCUGCUGGGCGUGAAUCCAGCUUGCCUGAAAGAGCCUUCUGCCAUCCACUGUGAGAGACAUAUGCCCUGGACUGCUAUUUGUUCAAGUGGAGUGAGAAAAUGCACGGAGCAGACCUAAAUACAUCACUUCCGUGAAGUCCAACCAAUCAUAGCUGAGCCCCUCGGAGCUGUAUCUCACCCAAUGACUUGUCAUCAGUGCUGUGAGCCACCAAGCUCUGCAGUGGUUUGUUACAGAGCAUUACUACGACUUUCACCCAAAAAUUGGCCAAGGAGUUCUCCUCUGCCUUAUUGGAUCUGUAUUGGGAAAGAACCAGAGUCAGGUCAAAAUUACAUGCAGAGGAGAUAUGCCAGGAGGCACCUCCGGAUGAUGGAGAUGAUGACUGAUGAUAUGGCAAUGCCUUCUAGGUCCAUCUGUCACAUGCAAACUCAGUUCAGCGCUGCUCCACGUGCGCUCGAUGUGACCUCUGAGAUUGGAGUUUGGCUGUGCUCCAAGGCCUCUUUCUGGCUUCUGUCCUGGUGUUUUAUAUAUGAUCUGCAGGUGUUACUGAUAUAA